CGGACGGGUGAGUAACACGUGGAUAACCUACCUAUAAGACUGGGAUAACUUCGGGAAACCGGAGCUAAUACCGGAUAACAUGUUGAACCGCAUGGUUCAACAGUGAAAGACGGUUUUGCUGUCACUUAUAGAUGGAUCCGCGCCGCAUUAGCUAGUUGGUAAGGUAACGGCUUACCAAGGCAACGAUGCGUAGCCGACCUGAGAGGGUGAUCGGCCACACUGGAACUGAGACAUGGUCCAG
rnacentral:rRNA from 1 species